AACGCACGAGACCUGCGGACCUGCGGAAGGAUCAUUACCGAGUUCGGGGCUCUGCUCCAACUCCCACCCUUGUUUACCAAGUGUUGCUUCGGCGAGACGUUGGAAGCAACCAUCGGUGAUUUGUCACAAAUGAACCGAUGCGCGCUCGCCGGACUCCAAAAUACUCUAGACUAUGUACUGUCAGAUGAAACAAGCAAUGAAUAAAAACUUUCAGCAACGGAUCUCUAGAUCGGAAGAGCA
rnacentral:misc_RNA from 1 species